rnacentral:rRNA from 1 species
AACGGGGGGAACGAGCGUUAUUCGUCAUGACUGGGCGUAAAGGGCACGCAGACGGCCUUUCAUGUUUUUAGUAUAAUAAAAUAGGCUAAGCCUAUAAACCAACUAUCUACACAGUUAGGCUAAGAGUCCAUACUAAGGGUUAGGGUACUCUCGAUGGAGAGGUGACAUUCGUAGAUAUCUGACGAGGACCACCAGUAGGCCGAGGCGCUAACCUAGUAUCUACUGACGUUCAGGUGCUAAAGCAUGGGGAGCAAACGGG